rnacentral:rRNA from 1 species
AGCGAACGCUGGCGGCAGGCCUAACACAUGCAAGUCGAACGAACCUUUCGGGGUUAGUGGCGGACGGGUGAGUAACACGUGGGAACGUGCCUUUAGGUUCGGAAUAACUCAGGGAAACUUGUGCUAAUACCGAAUGUGCCCUUCGGGGGAAAGAUCUAUCGCCUUUAGAGCGGCCCGCGUCUGAUUAGCUAGUUGGUUGAGGUAAUGGCUCACCAAGGCGACGAUCAGUAGCUGGUCUGAGAGGAUGAUCAGCCACAUUGGGACUGAGACACGGCCCAAACUCCUACGGGAGGCAGCAGUGGGGAAUCUUGCGCAAUGGGCGAAAGCCUGACGCAGCCAUGCCGCGUGAAUGAUGAAGGUCUUAGCAUUGUAAAAUUCUUUCACCGGGGACGAUAAUGACGGUACCCGGAGAAGAAGCCCCGGCUAACUUCGUG